AUUAAUUUGCAGAGGAAGUAUUACUAAAAAAAUUGAGUAAGACUUUCUCUUAUUUUAUUUUAUUUUAGACAAUCUCGUAAAACUUUAUUGAUAAAUGUUUAAAGGUACAAAUGAUAAAUCUCCCGGGGUGCCUAGCCAUACAUGUCAGCCUUUCCCUAACCUCAAAACAUAUUUCGCUAAAUUGUGAGUCUCGACAUUCGAGCUCAUAUAUUCAUGCACAACAUUGCAUGCCUGAAAAGACGAUUUGUGUUCUAAAAUUUCAUGUAAAAUAACACUGUAUGUUGUAGGCUGCUUGUCCUUGAUAUCAUCAACCAUCACCUUGCAAUCCGAAGCAACAUGUAUACGCUGAAUGUAUAGAUCAUUUGCUAGGGCAAAAGCCUUCUGGAUCGCCAGAGCUUCGAGUGUAGGUGCAUCCCCUAUAUCCUUGAAAACCAUCGCUCAAGCUCCUUGGAAAAGACCAUCGCGGUCACGACAUAUAGCGGCUGCCACUCCCUUUCUACAGUCGUGUGAUACAGCAGCGUCUACAUUGAUCUUUAGGUAAGACUCCAGAGGGCUAUUCCAUCCCCCCGUCCGAUGUAUAGUAUUUGACUGCGAGGAAGGUCCCCUACUCUCUGUCAAAGAGAGGUCAUUGAUGUAUGAUAUUAUGAAUUCAUUUACAGAUUGGGGGCUUUGAAAGAUGUCUUCAUAAAUCGCCUUCCUUCUAGCCCUUCAAAUUGCCCACAAAGUGACCACCAGUAGAGUAUAUUGUUUCUGUGUUGAUUGAUCAUGCAUAACAAAGAUUCACUUCUUGGCAUUGGGUUCAUUGUUCUGACUGAUUUUCUCAACCAAUAUUUCUUUAGAAAGAGCCCAAAUGCAUCUCGACGUGGUGCAUUCCAUGAACGCAUGUCUUCAAGAAUCAUUCUGACCACAUAGAGCACAAAGGCGUGUAUUUCUCUGCCUUUGAUCGAGAGGGGCUUUCUAGGAUUUAGAAUUUGGAUUUGAUGAAUUGGACCAG
rnacentral:lncRNA from 1 species